UACGUAGGGUGCGAGCGUUAAUCGGAAUUACUGGGCGUAAAGCGUGCGCAGGCGGUUCGCCAAGUCAGGUGUGAAAUCCCCGGGCUUAACCUGGGAAUUGCGUCCGAUACUGGCAGGCUUGAAUUCGGGAGAGGGAUGUGGAAUUCCAGGUGUAGCGGUGAAAUGCGUAGAUAUCAGGAAGAACACCCGUGGCGAAAGCGGCUCUCUGGAACGGUACUGACGCUGAGACGCGAAAGCGUGGGGAGCGAACAGG
rnacentral:rRNA from 1 species